UCAGGCAUGUAAUUCAAUGGUAGAGCUUUUGUCUAGCAUUCAUAAGGCCCUGUGUUCAAUGCCCAGCACUGAA
rnacentral:tRNA from 1 species